rnacentral:rRNA from 1 species
AUUGAACGCUGGCGGCAGGCCUAACACAUGCCAGUCGAGCGGAUGAAGGGAGCUUGCUCCUGGAUUCAGCGGCGGACGGGUGAGUAAUGCCUGGGAAUCUGCCUGGUAGUGGGGGAUAACGUCCGGAAACGGGCGCUAAUACCGCAUACGUCCUGAGGGAGAAAGUGGGGGAUCUUCGGACCUCACGCUAUCAGAUGAGCCUAGGUCGGAUUAGCUAGUUGGUGGGGUAAAGGCCUACCAAGGCGACGAUCCGUAACUGGUCUGAGAGGAUGAUCAGUCACACUGGAACUGAGACACGGUCCAGACUCCUACGGGAGGCAGCAGUGGGGAAUAUUGGACAAUGGGCGAAAGCCUGAUCCAGCCAUGCCGCGUGUGUGAAGAAGGUCUUCGGAUUGUAAAGCACUUUAGGUUGGGAGGAAGUGCAGUAAGUUAAUACCUUGCUGUUUUGACGUUACCAGCAGAAUAAGCACCGGCUAACUUCGUG